UACGUAGGGGGCUAGCGUUGUCCGGAAUCAUUGGGCGUAAAGAGCGUGUAGGCGGCUCGGUAAGUCUGCUGUGAAAGUCCAGGGCUCAACCCUGGAAUGCCGGUGGAAACUGUCGAGCUAGAGUCCGGAAGAGGCGAGUGGAAUUCCUGGUGUAGCGGUGAAAUGCGCGGAUAUCAGGAGGAACACCAAUGGCGAAGGCAGCUCGCUGGGACGGUACUGACGCUGAGACGCGAAAGCGUGGGGAGCAAACAGG
rnacentral:rRNA from 1 species